CCCUUAGAUGUUCUGGGCCGCACGCGUGCUACACUGAGUGGAUCAGCGGGUCAGGUUACGCGAGAGCGUUUCCUAAUCUCCAAAUCCGCUCGUGAUGGGGAUUGACGGUUGCAAUUUUCCGUCAUGAACGAGGAAUACCUUGUAAGCGCGGGUCAUCAUCCCGCGCUGAAUACGUCCCUGCCCUUUGUACACACCGCCCGUCGCUCCUACCGAUUGAGUGGUCCGGUGAGGCUUUGGGAUCUAAGCGAAAAGAGCGUUUCGCUCCUUUUGCUGGGAGAACUCAGUCGAACCUUAUCAUUUAGAGGAAGGAGAAGUCGUAACA
rnacentral:rRNA from 1 species